GCUCUGCAUACAGUUACGGACCUUGCCUGAAAGUUUGCCUCUGGAACUUUAAACAUAGGCUCCAGAGUGAACGGUUAUCGGGGAGGAAAGACGCCUGAAAGUUUGCUUCGUAAACGGACACAGGCGCCUGGAAAGAAGGUUACUUCAUAUGAAAUACUUCCUCCAUUUGCUCGAAAACCUGGUGCUUGCUGAGGAAAAAAUUAUUUCCCAGGUGCUUGUUCCCACCUCUGCACAGUUCCUCCAGCACUUGUAGAACACUGUGACUCAGUCUGUUCAUCCUCCCAGUCAUCUGCAUUUCCCACUGCACUGGAUGAAAUGGCAGAGAUUGGCAG